ensembl:lncRNA novel transcript
UCCCUAACGGGUAAAGAGAGCAGCACAGCACGCCUACCUUUGACAGCCUUUCGUGGUACCUGUGAACAGAGAGUGAGAAACCAUAGGCGGGGAGGAAAAGCAGAGAUCCAGACAGAAGAGGCCCACGUAGAAUGAGCCACAGAGAGACCGAGAGAAAAGUAAUCCCGGGAGCAGGAAAGAGGGAGGGGCAUGGACCCAGGAGAGGGGAACAGGGACGACCCCCCACCUCCUCCCGCCUACCGGGCAAGGACAAAGGCCUGGUCGAUGCGCCGCUCCAGCCCUUGAUCGCCCUGUGCCUUCCACAUGAGCCACAGCUUCAGACAGUCCACACGGCGGCCACACUGCACCACCUUGUCUCCCGUGUCCAGAGCCACAUCGUAGAACUUGUCCUGCUGGAAAAGGUCCCCAGCAAAGGGGCUUUGGUCUCACCCUCACCCCAGCAUCAGGAAGAACUGCCAUGUCUGACCUCCCAGCUCCAAUC